rnacentral:rRNA from 1 species
AUGGCCGGCGCCGGCGCCGGAGAGGACGACGCGGCGUGGGAGCGCGCCAUCAGCGCGGCCGUCAAGAGCGCGCCCCUCUCCCCCUUCUCCGCGCCCAAAACCCUAACCCUCGACGGCGCCGUCAAGUCCUCCACCGGCCGCCUCCCCUCGCCGGCCCUCUUCGACCGCUUCCCCUCGCUCGAGGAGCUCUCCGUCGCGGGCGCCCGCCUCUCCUCGCUCGCGGGCCUGCCCCGCCUCCCGGCCCUCCGCCGCCUCUCCCUCCCCGACAACCGCCUCGCCGGGGCCGACUCCCUCGCCGCCGUCGCCCAGUCCUGCGGCGGGACCAUCCGCCACCUCGACCUCGGCAACAACCGCUUCGCCGCGGUCGAGGAGCUCGCCCCGCUCGCGCCGCUCGGGGUCGAGUCGCUGGACCUGUACCAGUGCCCCGUCACCAAGCUCAAGGGGUACCGGGAGAAGGUGUUUGCGCUGGUUCCCAGCUUGAAGUACUUGGAUGGCGUCGAUGCCGAGGGCAAUGACCGCCUGGAGUCCGAUGAGGACGAGGAGGAGGAUGAGGAUGAGGACGAGGAGGGGGAUGAAGAGGGGGCGGAGGACGGUGAGGGGGAAGGAGAUGAAGAGGACGGAGAGGAAGAGGAAGGCGAUGAAGAAGAAGAUGGCGAGGAAGAGGAAGGAGAUGAAGAUGAAGAGGAAGGCGACGAGGCUGAAGACGAAGAGGAUGAGGCUGAGGACGACGAACCGGAUUCAGGCGCGGCCGAGAAAAGCGAGGUUGCCAACGGAAACAAGUCUGCAGGAUCUGCCCUGCCAAGCAAGAGGAAAAGGGACAAUGAAGACGGCGGCAACUGA